GGUACCUGAAGAAAAAGCAUCGGCUAACUCCGUGCCAGCAGCCGCGGUAAUACGGAGGAUGCAAGCGUUAUCCGGAAUCAUUGGGCGUAAAGGGUCCGCAGGUGGCGAAUAAAGUCUGCUGUUAAAGACCGGGGCUUAACUCCGGAAAGGCAGUGGAAACUGAUUAGCUAGAGUACGGUAGGGGUAGAGGGAAUUCCCAGUGUAGCGGUGAAAUGCGUAGAUAUUGGGAAGAACACCGGUGGCGAAAGCGCUCUACUAGGCCGAAACUGACACUGAGGGACGAAAGCUAGGGUAGCGAAAGGGAUUAGAUACCCCUGUAGUCUUAGCGGUAAACGAUGGAUACUAGGUGUAGCUUGUAUCGACCCGAGCUGUGCCGAAGCUAACGCGAUAAGUAUCCCGCCUGGGGAGUACGCACGCAAGUGUGAAACUCAAAGGAAUUGACGGGGGCCCGCACAAGCGGUGGAGUAUGUGGUUUAAUUCGAUGCAACGCGAAGAACCUUACCAGGGCUUGACAUGUCGCGAAUCUAGCGGAAACGUUAGAGUGCCUUAGGGAAUGCGAACACAGGUGGUGCAUGGCUGUCGUCAGCUCGUGUCGUGAGAUGUUGGGUUAAGUCCCGCAACGAGCGCAACCCUCGUCCUUAGUUGCCAAUAUUAAGUUAGGCACUCUAGGGAGACUGCCGGGGACAACUCGGAGGAAGGUGAGGAUGACGUCAAGUCAGCAUGCCCCUUACGUCCUGGGCUACACACGUACUACAAUGGUUGGGACAAAGGGCAGCAAGCUCGCGAGAGUAAGCGAAUCUCAUCAAACCCAGCCACAGUUCAGAUUGCAGGCUGCAACUCGCCUGCAUGAAGUAGGAAUCGCUAGUAAUCGCAGGUCAGCAUACUGCGGUGAAUUCGUUCCCGGGCCUUGUACACACCGCCCGUCACACCAUGGAAGCUGGCUACGCCCGAAGUCGUUACCCUAACCCGGUUUUGGGAGGGGGAUGCCGAAGGUAGAGCUAGUGACUGGGGUGAAGUCGUAACAAGGUAGCCGUACCGGAAGGUGUGGCUGGAUCACCUCCUUU
rnacentral:rRNA from 1 species